CAGGGAGAGCUUAAUACAGGUGAGCCCCGUUAACUUGCGCACGCGUAAGUCGCAGUUCGGCUUUACUUGUCGCCAAGUUGUGGACCCCGAAAAUUUAGACU